rnacentral:rRNA from 1 species
GUGGGGAAUAUUGGACAAUGGGCGAAAGCCUGAUCCAGCCAUGCCGCGUGUGUGAAGAAGGCCUUCGGGUUGUAAAGCACUUUAAGCGAGGAGGAAGGUUCGUCACCUAAUACGUGACGGAAUUGACGUUACUCGCAGAAUAAGCACCGGCUAACUCUGUGCCAGCAGCCGCGGUAAUACAGAGGGUGCAAGCGUUAAUCGGAAUUACUGGGCGUAAAGCGCGCGUAGGCGGUUGUGUAAGUUGGAUGUGAAAUCCCCGGGCUUAACCUGGGCACUGCAUUCAAAACUGCACGGCUAGAGUAUUGGAGAGGAAGGUAGAAUUCCAGGUGUAGCGGUGAAAUGCGUAGAGAUCUGGAGGAAUACCGAUGGCGAAGGCAGCCUUCUGGCCAAAUACUGACGCUGAGGUGCGAAAGCAUGGGGAGCAAACAGGAUUAGAUACCCGAGUAGUCC